AUUGAACGCUGGCGGCAGGCUUAACACAUGCAAGUCGAACGAGUGGCGAACGGGUGAGUAAUGCUUGGGAAUCUAACUUAUGGAGGGGGAUAACUACGGGAAACUGUAGCUAAUACCGCAUACUAUCGGAUGAACCCAUAUGGGAUUAGCUAGUUGGUGAGGGAAUGGCUCACCAAGGCGACGAUCCCUAGAUGGUCUGAGAGGAUGAUCAGCCACACUGGGACUGAGACACGGACCAGACUCCUACGGGAGUCAGCAGUGGGGAAUAUUGCACAAUGGGCGCAAUCCUGAUGCAGCCAUGCCGCGUGUUGAGAAGGCCUUCGGGUUGUAAAGCACUUUCAGCGAGGAGGCGUUACUCGCAGAAGAAGCACCGGCUAACUCCGUGCCAGCAGCCGCGGUAAUAC
rnacentral:rRNA from 1 species